GAGAAAGAGAACAAGAGCGAACGGAGGAUGCCUAGGCUUCCGUAGGCGAUGAAGGACGUGGUAAGCUGCGAAAAGCUCCGGGGAUCUGCAAACAGGAACUGAUCCGGAGAUGUCCGAAUGGGGAAACCCGGCAGGCUGAAGGCCUGUCACCAACGGUUGUUGGAGCGAACGCGGGGAACUGAAACAUCUUAGUACCCGCAGGAAGAGAAAGAAAUAUCGAUUCCCAAAGUAGUGGCGAUCGAAAUGGGAAGAGCCUAAACCGGUCACGUUGAGGCGCGGCCGGGGUUGUAGGACCAGUCAUAAAGUGACAUACAAGGAACUGGAACCGUCUGGAAAGUCGGUCCGCAGAGGGUGAAAGGCCCGUACAGGCAAUGUGUAUGUUUCGAGACUGGCACCUGAGUAGGGCGGGACACGUGGAAUCCUGUCUGAAUCUGCGGCGACCAUGCCGCAAGGCUAAAUAUAACCGGA
rnacentral:rRNA from 1 species